CCCUUAGAUGUUCUGGGCCGCACGCGCGCUACACUGAUGCAUUCAACGAGCCUAUCCUUGACCGACAGGUCCGGGUAAUCUUUGAAUCUGCAUCGUGACGGGGAUAGAUUAUUGCAAUUAUUAAUCUUCAACGAGGAAUGCCUAGUAGGCGCAAGUCAUCAGCUUGCGUCGAUUACGUCCCUGCCCUUUGUACACACCGCCCGUCGCUCCUACCGAUUGGGUGUGCUGGUAAAAUGUUCGGAUCGGCCGUUUGUCGCGGUUUCCGCGGCUCGUGGCUGAGAAGUUCAUUAAACCCUCCCACCUAGAGGAAGGAGAAGUCGUAACA
rnacentral:rRNA from 1 species